CAGUCCCUGUACAGAAGUACAAAUGUGAGAACCACAACCAGUAUCUAAUACCCAUGAAAUAGUAGUUGAUAAAUUAAUAUCAAUAACAUAAAUUCCUGAAGCAGACGUUCCGCUUAUUUUGGCCUUCUUGACUUCCUCAAGAUAGAUAGGGCAGUUCCGCUUCCAAUGUCCAGUCACACCACAAUGAAAACAGUUUCCU
rnacentral:lncRNA from 1 species